CGGGAAUUUAUUUGUAGCAAUACCGAUAAAUUCUAGUGGCGAACGGGUGCGUAACACGUGAGCAAUCUGCCGGGAAGUGGGGGAUAACUCGCCGAAAGGCGAAUUAAUACCGCAUAUGGCCAAGGAGGACAUCCUCUUGAAGCCAAAGUCGCAAGACGCUUCCUGAUGAGCUCGCGGCCUAUCAGCUAGUUGGUAAGGUAAUGGCUCACCAAGGCUAUGACGGGUAGCUGGUCUGAGAGGACGACCAGCCACACUGGAACUGAGACACGGUCCAGACACCUACGGGUGGCAGCAGUCGAGAAUUUUUCACAAUGGGGGAAACCCUGAUGGAGCGACGCCGCGUGGAGGAUGAAGGUUUUCGGAUUGUAAACUCCUGUCAAAUGGGAACAAGAAAGUGAUAGUACCAUUAGAGGAAGAGACGGCUAACUCUGUGCCAGCAGCCGCGGUAAUACAGAGGUCUCAAGCGUUGUUCGGAUUCAUUGGGCGUAAAGGGUGCGCAGGCUGUGGGGUAAGUCGGAUGUGAAAUCUAGGGGCUCAACCUCUAAACUGCAUUCGAUACUGCUUCGCUAGAGGACUGUAGAGGAGAUUGGAAUUCACGGUGUAGCAGUGAAAUGCGUAGAUAUCGUGAGGAAGACCAGUGGCGAAGGCGAAUCUCUGGGCAGUUCCUGACGCUCAUGCACGAAGGCCAGGGGAGCAAACGGGAUUAGAUACCCCGGUAGUCCUGGCAGUAAACGGUGCACGUUUGGUGUGGGAGGAUUCGACCCCUUCCGUGCCGGAGCUAACGCGUUAAACGUGCCGCC
rnacentral:rRNA from 1 species